CGCCUCAGUUUUUGAAAUACGGGAUCCCGCUCCCCUUCUGUGGUUCCAUUUUAAAAUCUUCCCCAAUUUGGACCUAUGUUACCAAGAGAAAAAAAAAAAUGGCGUCCGGUAUAGGAAUGAUGGAUUCUGCAUGUUCUGUGAGUAGACCAUUCUUUCAGGGAUCAACUCGACUCUCAAGCUCAAAUCUUUCCAAAAUUGAAGAGAUGGCUGAUGGUGCGAUUCCAUGUCAACUAAUGGAUCGAUGCUAUCCAUCUAGAUGUGCUGCCCAUGCGUAAGGUUAAUUUUGAGGCCAAGAAAAUAUAUAAAUGAGACGAACCAGAAUCACAAGGUCGUUGAAGAUGUUUCAGAUCACCAGAGAGGCUCGCUUCUCUUCUUUAUCCACGGAAUUGGGGUUUUCUUUCAACUUCACUGACUAUUUCAUUUGUUUGUUAAUUUUGAGUAUCAAGAAAACUAUAAUUUUAAAGGAAAAUCAAUUCAACUAAAGUCUUAUGCAAUUGUUUUAACUGAAUUGAGCUGAGUAUUUUCAUUUUGGUCGAUUAAGCCAUUACGCUUCUAAUUUCUUGUCCUCCUUUUAUUCCUCAUUUUUUUUCUCUCUCAUUGUAUAGGAUUCUUGCCUUCCUAUUUGACUCUCUGAUUUUUCCCGGUAUUUUGUUCUUUACGGCGUUUCGCAGAUGGAAGGAAGGCUUCUCCUCAAUUUGGAGUUCAUGCAGUGGAUGAAAAGUAAAUGUUAACAAGUAAUCCUUACCUCAUUGCUUUCUAAAUUUUCAGUUUAGUGGAAUUUUUUUAAUUUUCUCGUGUAGGAAGUGAGUGGUAUAUUGGUAGUUUUGAGCAUCAAUCCCGCACAUUUAUUACUUAAAAGGACCCAAUGAGGAAAGGCCAGGUUUUCUUUGUAUGAAAGCUAGCUAGCUCCUAGCUCCUAGCUCCUAAGCAAAGAAUAAAGGAAUUUAGGCAUGGACAGAAAAGACACUGUGAAAGGUCAGAAUGCUGUAUUGUUGAAAAUUUGAUAAAUCCAGCUGAUUGGCAUAGUUAUUUUUACUAUUUGAAGUACAGUAGGCGCUUGGCUUUUGGAAAAAAAGAACAUUAUGGAUAUCUGUUAAUAAUAAAUGUUUUGAGUUUCCAUGUUA